GCGGCAGCUUCAUGGCCGACAAUUCCACCCACUUGCUAACGACAGGAACAAAACAACAGACAUUGCUUAAGAUUGCUGAAUUAUCGCAUCCGCCUGCUACCAGAAUCACUUCCACACUUCGCAUUUCUGUGGUAAACAUGGCAAAGAAGAACCGGCUAUUGGCCGCGAGAACUGCCUUAUGUGCUGAAAAGUUCUGGCCAUCCACUGUCAAAUUAACAUCGCAUAAUAUUCCUGAAUGUCGCUGUGUGUUCAGCACUUUUAAAAUAAUGUUGUCAUCGCCUUUCAAUUGAAGAAAAGAGGGACCUUCAAUGGUUCUUACAAGGCCCAUAAUCAUUGCCGACUUUGACAAAGCUACCUGGAUGCAUGAACGCAGUAAAAUGAUGAAAUAUGAUUGAAGUCCAGCUUAAAUCACGCACGCUUCAGUCCCGCUCCAAUGACCAAUUUUUCAAUACAGUUCGUAAUUGAUGUAAACAAAUCAUUGUCCUACAGUGAUAUUGAGCAACCUUAGCUUGCCAAUAUUGUCAUGUGGUCUCAGGAUUUCCGUUUCAUGGAUGAAAGUUCGUUAUAAUAACAAGUCCUACAUAAAUGAAAGUGUUCUCUUGGUGUUUGUUCUGCUUACAGCUGCAAAGAAAGUCAAAUAAAUUGGCAACAUAUUUAA